CCUCGCCUCGGCAAGCCCAUCAGAAAUCGACUGCUGGCUCUAAUAUCUCUGUGGCGUUUAAACAUGCGAUUUAAUUCAUUUUAAUUUCUUAUACUUAAUAAUAAAAGGUUUACCGGUAUGUUUUAAAUCAUAUUUUAGGAUUGCACUUAAAUGAUAUCGCUGUUGAAUGAUAUUUCAUAUCUUUCACAUUUGUUAUAACUGGGCUGCGUACUGCCUGCGAAUUUGAACUUCAGAGCUGAAGGUGCGAGUGGAGAAAUAGUCCCAAUAUCAUAACAAUCUUAAAACUUCUAAAUAUACCCGUGUGUGUACCCGUGUGCGUGCGUGCGUGUGUGCGCGCGCGCGUGCUCGCGCGUAUGUAUGUAUGCGCGUGCGUCUGUGUAUUUUGAAUUUAAAAUGUUUUAACUCGGAAGGAUCUGGAUCGCAAGUCAUUUCAUCUGAGAUCAAUCCGCACGCAACAGCUGGAAUCACUUACUGUUUCACACAAGGAAGGACACAAUCAGCCGUUUCCUCAAGUUCACGUCAGAGCGGAGAUGAUGUGAGAGGCAGACCCGAGACAUAGCGAGACAGUCUCCGCUUGGACUGGCUGAGGAAAGUCUCCUAAAUGGCCCUGGAGAUGUUCUGACUGACUUUGGAGACUUUUUGGACUGUUUUAUGCCCUCUAUUUAAAGAAGACUUAAUUCUGUAUGUUCAGUCUGUAUGAUAAGUGAAUAAGUGAAUAAAAAGCUUUUGUUUUUAUG